rnacentral:rRNA from 1 species
AUACGUAGGUGGCAAGCGUUGUCCGGAUUUAUUGGGCGUAAAGCGCGCGCAGGCGGUUUCUUAAGUCUGAUGUGAAAGCCCAUGGCUUAACCGUGGAGGGUCAUUGGAAACUGGGAGACUUGAGUGCAGAAGAGGAAAGUGGAAUUCCAAGUGUAGCGGUGAAAUGCGUAGAGAUUUGGAGGAACACCAGUGGCGAAGGCGACUUUCUGGUCUGCAACUGACGCUGAGGCGCGAAAGCAUGGGGAGCAAACAGGAUUAGAUACCCUGGUAGUCCAUGCCGUAAACGAUGAGUGCUAAGUGUUAGGGGGUUUCCGCCCCUUAGUGCUGCAGCUAACGCAUUAAGCACUCCGCCUGGGGAGUACGACCGCAAGGUUGAA